AUGGUGUUUCCUGGGAGGAUCUGCUUCACCACUGUCCAGUGUCUGGCCCAAGAUGGAGCCCAUAUGGCGGUCAGCAGCCAGGAAGCAGCAGAAUGUGGACCAGGCAGUGGCAAUGCUGCAGGGGGAGGGGCUGAGCGUGACAAGCAGGGUGUGCCACCUGGGGAAGGUCAAGGACCAGGAGCGGCUGGUGGCCACAGUGAGGGAGAGUGGUUAUCAUUUCUCUCUGCAGAACACGGAACUUCUGGGAUAGAGAUUCCAAAAGAUCCACUAGGAAGAAUCUUUAGUAUUACUCCUACCCAUGCCUGGUAUAGAACACUCUGAAGCCAAAAGAGAGAUCAUUAGUCUAGAAUAAAGGCAAAUUUGGCUGUAUUUCACAAAAGUGUCCAUACUAGUAUUCCUUAUUGGAUAUUGAGUAUUCAAGUGUGGCAUGAAAACAAAAAAUUGGUCCUGGCCCUCAGAAUGCUUCGAGACAGAGGAGACAAGUGGAUGAAGGCAGAAGAGGGCUCUAAUCCUGACCUAACCUCCUCUUGCUCACUUUCAUAAUCCUCAGUCUCCACUUCUGUCUGUAUGUGCCCCAUUCAUACGUGGCUCCAUCUGCGUGUACCCCUUCUUUCUCUUCCCAAGGGAAGCUCUGUGGUUCUUGUCUCCUUGAUUGAGGUGUACACCCAGAAGCUGUAAGUAUGAACUUCUGUGGCUCUAGAGAAAGCACACAACCCUAUUUGCCAACAAAAGGGGAAAUGUCCAAGAAGAUCCCAGGGCCAGCCAUUGCUAGGUGGGGCACACCUACAUAAAGUUUGAUCGGUGGGUGUCUCAGAUCUUCUUUCUCUAGAAGGGACACACAUGGCACCUUUUACCCCAUCAAUGAUCUUUGCACUUGCUGCUGAAGGGAUGUAUUUCUAGGCACAGGCCUAGAAAUCCAAUUGAAAUUCUCCCCAGUUACCAUACUUGUCAGCUACUUCCCUUUCUGUUCACAGAAACUAGGGGCCUACAACCUCAGUAAAACAGCCAUUCUAGGACUCUCCCAGAACUGGCAUCAAAGAUCUAGGUGAACUGUCUACUGCCAGGAGUCACUGAUGCAGACUUCAGCCAAAUGAUACGGACGAAGGACA
rnacentral:lncRNA from 9 species